AAUCCUCCGGGAGGAAGAUGUAAGCGACUUAGUGGCGGACGGGUGAGUAACGCGUGGGUAACCUGCCCUGUACAGGGGGACAACAGCCGGAAACAGCUGCUAAUACCCCAUAAGCGCACGGUAUCGCAUGAUACAGUGUGAAAAGCCGAGACGGUACAGGAUGGACCCGCGUCUGAUUAGAUAGUUGGUGGGGUAACGGCCUACCAAGUCAGCGAUCAGUAGCCGGCCUGAGAGGGUGAACGGCCACAUUGGAACUGAGACACGGCCCAGACUCC
rnacentral:rRNA from 1 species